AUUUUAAUAGUUUAAGAAAAACCUUGAUUUUGUAAUUCAAAGAUACUUUAGUGAUGUUUAAGAUC
rnacentral:tRNA from 1 species